UACGUAGGGGGCAAGCGUUGUCCGGAAUCAUUGGGCGUAAAGAGCGUGUAGGCGGUCCGAUAAGUCCGCUCUGAAAGCCCGGGGCUCAACCCCGGGAGGCGGGCGGAUACUGUCGGGCUAGAGUCCGGAAGAGGCAAGUGGAAUUCCUGGUGUAGCGGUGAAAUGCGCAGAUAUCAGGAAGAACACCCGUGGCGAAAGCGGCUCUCUGGAACGGUACUGACGCUGAGACGCGAAAGCGUGGGGAGCGAACAGG
rnacentral:rRNA from 1 species